rnacentral:rRNA from 1 species
UUGCGGUUAAAAAGCUCGUAGUUGGAUUUCUGUCUGGGGCGACCGGUCCACCUCCUGGGUGAGCAUCUGGUCCGCUUUGGGCAUCCUCCUGGAGAACGCUUUUCUGCUUAAUUGUAGAAUGUGGGAUCUAGGACUUUUACUUUGAGGAAAUUAGAGUGUUCACUGCAGGCAUACGCCUUGAAUACGUUAGCAUGGAAUAAUAAAAUAGGACCUCGGUUCUAUUUUUUCGGUUUCUAGAGCUGAGGUAAUGAUUAACAGGGAUAGUUGGGGGCAUUCGUAUUUAACUGUCAGAAGUGAAAUUCUUGGAUU